rnacentral:rRNA from 1 species
AGUGAACGCUGGCGGCAGGCCUAACACAUGCAAGUCGAACGGCAGCACAAGAGAGCUUGCUCUCUGGGUGGCGAGUGGCGGACGGGUGAGGAAUGCAUCGGAAUCUGCCCAUUUGUGGGGGAUAACCUCGGGAAACCAGGACUAAUACCGCAUACGACCUACGGGUGAAAGCAGGGGAUCUUCGGACCUUGCGCAGAUGGAUGAGCCGAUGCCGGAUUAGCUAGUUGGAGGGGUAAAGGCCCACCAAGGCGACGAUCCGUAGCUGGUCUGAGAGGAUGAUCAGCCACACUGGGACUGAGACACGGCCCAGACUCCUACGGGAGGCAGCAGUGGGGAAUAUUGGACAAUGGGCGCAAGCCUGAUCCAGCCAUGCCGCGUGUGUGAAGAAGGCCUUCGGGUUGUAAAGCACUUUUGUUGGGAAAGAAAAGCAGCCGGUUAAUACCCGGUUGUCAUGACGGUACCCAAAGAAUAAACACCGGCUAACUUCGUG